AUAGAGAUGCGAGCAGAAAGUGGUAGUUUCACUAGCGACGCUGGUAUCUCUUUUGUGUACAACAAUUAAUAAAGAUUCGUAAAAUCUAUUCUCGGUGUUGGUUCUUGGACGUCUGCAGCAAUAAAAGUUGGGACAUCUGGUUUUUCCUGAGAACCACUGCAUGUUGUGUGACUCCUCGACAACAGCAAGUUGGUUGAGAGAUCACAUUUCAAGGCUGCUUUGAACAGAAUUCUAAGCUAACUAUUAUACCAAGAAACUUACCUGUGUUUAGGCUGCAAAAUUUUGGUUAAGAAAUUCGUUGUUGAUUAAUCAUUUCCGCGUCUCGAUGCGUGCAGUGAAAAAAGUGAGACUGAUCUUAAGCUGGUUGUUGUUUGGGACAGUAAUAUAACGUGGAUAAAUUACAUCCUUCCCAAGUAUAAAUAUUAUGGCCCGGGAAAUAUGACGGACAGUCAAGCUUUAAAAAUCUGUUUUCAAAAAUUUCCCGAUAGGGAUUCUGUCUAGAUGAGAUGAUAUAGUACGUCACCGAUUCCGUUGUUUACGAUAUUUCUCUCAAUAGAUGGCGUUUGCUGUAAUAGGGAUUCAAUUCAGCUUUCGGGGUGGUUCAGAAAUGUUUUAGACGUUUUGCCGGUUGUCAUGGAGCCGCUCUCGAACUAGUGUUUUUGUAAAGCUGGCAUAAUGGCAGAUUCUCAUGUCACGAUUUUUAGGUAUCUAAGUUACAAAGGACGAAGCAAUCAAACCCAACUUUAGGGGUCCUCACUGUGUUCGGAAAGUUCCCGAUAGGGUUUGUGUUGUUUCUUGUUACUUGCGAUCAUAGGGUUGAAAAACACGAUUUAACAAGAGUUCCUGUUACAUCGUGGUUCAGAAGACACCGUUUGAAAGAAACAUCCAGCUCAAAGCACAGUUCAAACUGUUCUUAUCCUUAGUGGGACAAUGGUACGCCCUCUAUCAGCAGCCUUACCAUGUGCUUCAUAAAUACAUCAACCCCUGAGAUCGUUGGAAAUUGUUUGUUCUCCACCUUUAUUAUCCACAUGCAAUUUUCACACUACUUCAUUACAUCCAUGGUAAUUCAUGGAAAACCAGGUGUGAUAUUUUAUCAUCCUGGAAAAUGGAUUCUGGAAAUUGAUGAUUUCUAAUAUACAACUGAUUUUCAGGUUUAUUUUUACAUAAUGAGUUUCCAAUUUGAAGUUGUGAGUGAUUUAUUGGAUUAUGGAUUCCCACUUUGAAAACCAAAUUAUUUCCUUCUACAAAUGGAUUUUGAAGUAUCGUACAUGUGGUAUUAUGUACUCAAUGAUAUCUUCGGGAAGCCUUUAGUUGACGUUAUACUAAAAAAUUCCCAUGGAAGGAAGUUCUUUCAGGAUCUGUUAUCGACCGUCUAUGUUUAUGGGAUCUGCCGUUUAGUUAGAAACUUUAACUUAGAAAUGUGCUCAGCAUAGAAUUUAUGUAAAACAAGUUUCUUAAUUUGCUUCAAGGAUUGUUUUACAUUGAUAUGUGUUUGUUUUGUUUUGUUUUUGUUUCAACCUAGAUGAAAAAUGAUAUUUGAUUGGAAAAAGUUUCUGGUUGAGACAAGAGAUCAAAAAAUGAUACUGUUUAGGAGGA